rnacentral:rRNA from 1 species
UUGACCUCGGAUCAGGUAGGGAUACCCGCUGAACUUAAGCAUAUCAGUAAG